ACACUUCGGGGAAAAUACUUGUCAAAGAAUUCAUCUCAGAAUCUCUCCCAAGUGAGUGGUAUCCUAUCGUGCUCAUAUUUUUGUUCCAGUAUACGCCACCAGUUUUAUGCCUCGCCUUGUAACAGAUAUGCUGUGAAGCAGAUCUUCUCUUCAUCUUGGCAUUCUUGCAUGGCGAAUGCCUUCUCUAUUUUCAUAAUCCAGUUAUCUGCUUCCAGUGGCUCGAUGGUCCCUUUGAAGGCUGGAGGGGC
rnacentral:lncRNA from 1 species